rnacentral:rRNA from 2 species
GAGCCUUGAUGUGUAGGAUAGGUGGGAGGCUUUGAAGCGUGGACGCCAGUCUGCGUGGAGCCGACCUUGAAAUACCACCCUUUAAUGUUUGAUGUUCUAACGUGGAUCCGUAAUCCGGGUUGCGGACAGUGUCUGGUGGGUAGUUUGACUGGGGCGGUCUCCUCCUAAAGAGUAACGGAGGAGCACGAAGGUUGGCUAAUCCUGGUCGGACAUCAGGAGGUUAGUGCAAUGGCAUAAGCCAGCUUGACUGCGAGCGUGACGGCGCGAGCAGGUGCGAAAGCAGGUCAUAGUGAUCCGGUGGUUCUGAAUGGAAGGGCCAUCGCUCAACGGAUAAAAGGUACUCCGGGGAUAACAGGCUGAUACCGCCCAAGAGUUCAUAUCGACGGCGGUGUUUGGCACCUCGAUGUCGGCUCAUCACAUCCUGGGGCUGAAGUAGGUCCCAAGGGUAUGGCUGUUCGCCAUUUAAAGUGGUACGCGAGCUGGGUUUAGAACGUCGUGAGACAGUUCGGUCCCUAUCUGCCGUGGGCGCUGGAGAACUGAGGGGGGCUGCUCCUAGUACGAGAGGACCGGAGUGGACGCAUCACUGGUGUUCGGGUUGUCAUGCCAAUGGCACUGCCCGGUAGCUAAAUGCGGAAGAGAUAAGUGCUGAAAGCAUCUAAGCACGAAACUUGCCCCGA